GCCGCUGUGGUGGAAUUGGUAGACACGCGGGUCUCAAAAACCCGUGGCGCAAAAAACGCCGUGUCGGUUCGACUCCGACCAGCGGCACCA
rnacentral:tRNA from 1 species